UACGUAGGGUGCAAGCGUUGUCCGGAAUUAUUGGGCGUAAAGAGCUCGUAGGCGGUCUGUUGCGUCGGCUGUGAAAACCCGAGGCUCAACCUCGGGCCUGCAGCCGAUACGGGCAGACUAGAGUUCGGCAGGGGAGACUGGAAUUCCUGGUGUAGCGGUGAAAUGCGCAGAUAUCAGGAGGGAACACCGGUGGCGAAGGCGGGUCUCUGGGCCGAUACUGA
rnacentral:rRNA from 1 species